UCGAGUCGGCCUGCGCGGAAGAUGUAACGGGGCUAAGUAGUAAACCGAAGCUGCGGCAAUAUACUUUUGUAUAUUGGGUAGGGGAGCGUUCUGUAAGCGGUUGAAGGUGUGUGGUAACGCAUGCUGGACGUAUCAGAAGUGCGAAUGCUGACAUGAGUAACGAUAAAGGGGGUGAAAAACCUCCUCGCCGGAAGACCAAGGGUUCCUGUCCAACGUUAAUCGGGGCAGGGUAAGUCGACCCCUAAGGCGAGGCCGAAAGGCGUAGUCGAUGGGAAACGGGUUAAUAUUCCCGUACUUCUUACAAUUGCGAUG
rnacentral:rRNA from 1 species